GAGGUGAUGACCAGCAGCGGCAGGGAGAUAACUCCUGGGUGAUAGUACCUGACAGCGCAGAUGGUGAAGAUGGAGACGCUGCUGGAGCAGAAAUGAAUACGCAGGGAGCCGAGCAAACAGCAGAACUCUCAUGCCAAGAACGGAGAACUUCAGAACUGAACCAAGACGAAGCACAUCCGCUGAGUUCAGGAUGGAAAUCGGGACCUGGAUCCCAGCUGCAGUCCCAUGCUGCUGGAGUAACAGAUAAGCUCGUGCUGUCGCUGGGACAAGAGACCAGAAUUAAACAGUUCUCUGGGCACCAGCCGGAGUCACCAAGGAAGACGGAAAUAGACCACCUUACAGGCUCUGCUUCCCAGCCAAAGGCGGUGAAAAGGCAGGGUUGUAAACGUUUGGAUCAGUCACAGGUAGCCCAUAAAUCACAGAUCCAGGUCCCUGGCAGCGCAGUGAGAGAGGAGCCUGUGGAGCUGAACGUGAGUCCCUACACAGCAGAUCGUGAGGGAAACAAAGAGGCCUCGGCAUCGGAGGAGAGCAUUUUAUUGGAGACUCCAUAUUUUCCAAACAAGAGAUGCGCAAUGGAGGACACGAUGACUGUGGAGUUUGUUGUCGUAUGGUCUAAAAAUUUUGUGUUUGAGGAACGGUUCGGCAAGAUUGUUGUUGCAGCCUACAAUAGUCCCAGGAGAUACCAAGAAAUUGCUAGGAUGAAUAAAAGGUUUGAGAAUAACUGUGGGUUCCUUGUCGUAGGCCAAGCAACAAUUCCUGUUUUGGAUCUACAAAGCAGACAACCCAUCUAUUAUAAAUAUGGGGUUAUUGACAUCUUCAGUGGUACAAGAGCAAUUCAAUUAGAACAUAUUUAUAAAACAGCCCACAAAAAUGAAAAGGCUGAGUUCCACCGAGUUCUAGCUGUGCCCGAAUCGGCCAUCAAAGCAGGAGGAGUGUGGACCCAAUUUGAUGAUAUCUGUCAGUCCCGGUCUGGCUCUGUAUCGAUAGGAAAGUCCAAAAAGACUGCUAGUGAGUCUAUCCUGCAGUUCCUGGAAGAUGAGCUUCUCAAAGACCUUUCUCCUGGGAAGGAUCUUGGUGAUGUGGAAAGAAAGCUUGACUGCUACAAGGAGUGCUUCAAAACCAGCAGCAUCGGGGAUGCAGAGCAAAAAAUAAGUGAUCUCAAAACUGACAUUGAUGAGUUAAAGGUGUAUGAUUACAUCCGCAAAUUCAUUGAAAAUGUACUCGGAAACCCCAGAUUUCGGCAUCCUAUUUCAGCGAUGGAUGUUCUCCUCUUUGUGUUAUGCACAGUAGUUCACCACAAUAUCUAUAUAAGUGCAGAGGCCAUGAGCAAGAUUGAAAAAAUGGCCCAAAAUGUUGAUUCACAGAAAGACACAUUCAUGAACCUGAAAGAACCAAGAAAAAGGAAGUGUAUUUCAGCUCUGAAGCAUGUUUGCAUCCAAAGCUCCAAAGACUCUAAGAGCACAUGUUGGAUCUGGCUGCUUCCUUUGCUGUAUGCAGUUCAAAGGGACCCAUCUGAAAAGGCAGAGGACCCAUUAACUUCACAAGACACGUGGUCGCUGCCUUUUGCUCAGCUGAGGCGGGAAGAAGAGAAGCAAAUGUGAGUCUACAAGAGAAAUAUUCUAUAAAAGAACGUUUUAGUUCUUUUGUCUCACAAAAUGUAAUAUCAUUAUUUGUGGUAUAAUGAUUUGGAAGCACUUGGCAUGCUGGCUCCAAAUGGGUAGUACCACUGAAGAUUGUGUGGGCUAGUGGUUAGAGCA
rnacentral:lncRNA from 1 species